rnacentral:rRNA from 1 species
GAUGAACGCUGGCGGCGUGCCUAAUACAUGCAAGUCGAGCGAACAGAUGAGGAGCUUGCUCCUCUGACGUUAGCGGCGGACGGGUGAGUAACACGUGGAUAACCUACCUAUAAGACUGGGAUAACUUCGGGAAACCGGAGCUAAUACCGGAUAAUCUAUUGAACCGCAUGGUUCAAUAGUGAAAGACGGUUUUGCUGUCACUUCUAGAUGGAUCCGCGCCGCAUUAGCUAGUUGGUAAGGUAACGGCUUACCAAGGCAACGAUGCGUAGCCGACCUGAGAGGGUGAUCGGCCACACUGGAACUGAGACACGGUCCAGGCUCCUACGGGAGGCAGCAGUAGGGAAUCGUCCGCAAUGGGCGAAAGCCUGACGGAGCAACGCCGCGUGAGUGAUGAAGGUCUUCGGAUCGUAAAACUCUGUUAUUAGGGAAGAACAAAUGUGUAAGUAACUAUGCACGUCUUGACGGUACCUAAUCAGAAAGCCACGGCUAACUACGUG